GAUAAGGAACACGAAAGCAUGUUUGUAAACUGUGAAUGAUGGAAUAGGAACACAGGCUAAUUAUGCAGUAUAGUGAUGGCAUAAUGAAGAGGCACAGUGCUUUCAAAGAUAAUAGAAGAUGGCAUCCAGAACACAUGUAUAGGAACUAAUCGUUGAUGGAAAGAGGACCAAUUCUGCCACUGACAUGGGAGAAAAGAAUGAGAGCACAGAUUACUGGAUUUGUGGAGGGAGAAGAUACAACUCCUUUUGGAUACCUUCUGUUUGUUUAACUAUGUGAUGAAAAACCAUUAACUAAGAGCGAAGUGGUGAGGAGAGAAUAAAAUAUUUAAGAAUAGAGAAAGUGAUACAAAAUAAUCUCCUGAGGAGAGUGAGAGUGAGUGUACGACUUACUAUAGGACUAGAGUAAAUUGCUGAUCCAGCUACAAGUUUAUCUGAUUUUACAGAAGAUGAAGUGAAAUCAUCCAACCUGCCCAGUGGGUCAAUAUGUCUAGCCAUGCUUAGUCCCUACCCCCACUUCAACCACAGAAAAUGAGAUGCGGAGUCUCACUGUGUUGCAAAUUCCUGACCUCAAGUGAUCUUCCUGCCUGGGCCUCAAAGUGCGGGGAUUAUACGCAGGGGCCACUGCUUUCAGCCUUUAAAUUCUGUUAAAAACAGCGUUGGUGAGGGUCAGCGCUGCCACUGCACAACCUCAGGGUUGGAACCACCACCAUGGAAACUUUUGCUGCUGACACACAUGUACCCACCCACAGAACCAGAAGCCACCACACCCACCCCCAAAUGGACAAUUCAGUACUUCCCUAGUUUCUUAUAGACAACAUAUAGGUUUCUCAUGCUAUUUGAUUUCCUCUGACAAUCUGUUUUUAUUGGUGCAUUUAGAC
rnacentral:lncRNA from 1 species